AUUGAACGCUGGCGGCAUGCCUUACACAUCCAGUCGCACGGCAGCACGGGUGCUUGCACCUGGUGGCGCGUGGCGAACGGGUGAGUAAUACAUCGGAACAUGUCCUGUAGUGGGGGAUAGCCCGGCGAAAGCCGGAUUAAUACCGCAUACGAUCUACGGAUGAACGCGGGGGACCUUCGGGCCUCGCGCUAUAGGGUUGGCCGAUGGCUGAUUAGCUAGUUGGUGGGGUAAAGGCCUACCAAGGCGACGAUCAGUAGCUGGUCUGAGAGGACGACCAGCCACACUGGGACUGAGACACGGCCCAGACUCCUACGGGAGGCAGCAGUGGGGAAUUUUGGACAAUGGGCGAAAGCCUGAUCCAGCAAUGCCGCGUGUGUGAAGAAGGCCUUCGGGUUGUAAAGCACUUUUGUCCGGAAAGAAAUCCUUGGCUCUAAUACAGUCGGGGGAUGACGGUACCGGAAGAAUAAGCACCGGCUAACUACGUG
rnacentral:rRNA from 1 species